CUUUCCUGAAACCCCAAGAAAAGAGUCCCCUCAACAGGAAUACCAACAGGAAUAUCAGGCCAAUGAAAUAAGCGUCUACAGCCCAAUUCAGGUGUAUAGUUAACCAUACUAGGCCAAGCAUUUCAAUAAGAUCCGGAAUAUGUUAAGCAAAUUUUGGCACUGCUUUAACUGUUUGCACAACUACAAGAAUGCUGCUUGCUUCCUGUCUCAUACAGUUUGGGGCAGGAUCCUUCUCACUGUUUGUCACUUAAUUGGAUGCCAACAACAGAUGAUGCCGUUAUACAAGUAAUGAAGUACAUUAAAGUCAACAGCUCCAGUGACAUGAAGCUCCUGUGACAGGUGUUAAAAAAUGGAUUAUAGUCAUUAUUAAAUAGCUCAAGAAAUAGUGAAAUUCACCUCCUAAAAUCUUCCAGCUGAGAUUUACUGAAGCCCACGCUCUCACCCCACACUCUAUGGGCUCUACAGAGGGACUGCCGUGAAUCACAUCGGUACCUCUGGGCUUUAAGCACUUCUGGACCAUGGGUGAGCUGUUUGACCUAACUGGUUACCACAAAAUAAAGUCCCUUUGUAAUUCAACAUAAAACACAUCCACAUCUGCAAUCUGAGGAGACAGAUAGUGAGGAGAUAUGAUAUCAGAUCACAGUAAUGUUUCCUCUGGUACAACACUAGAGGAGAAUCAGUCCAAAGAAAACUCCUUAGCAGAUUGAAGCAGUUGAAAAAAAAAAAGUACAUUUACUUGUUAAUGCCUAAUAGUCUCAGAUGUCUACUGCACAAAGGAAAGUAUUUGAACAGCUUAAAAGUUUUAUGGCUAGAAUAACAUUCAAUAAAAAAUACAUUUUUGCAGGACUGGUUAAGAAACCACAUACAGGCGGGGAUUCCCGGAAACCGCAGGGGCAGCUGUGCUCUGGAGGGCAGGGUGGGCAGCAGGGACAGGCCCAGCCCCACUGCCCCCCAGCAGGAGGAAGGGAAGGGACUGCUCCCCAGGUACUGUAUUCACCCUCCCUCCCAGACCUGGUCUCAGAGGUCUGACAUAUCAGACAGUCGUGAGCUGUCAGUCACUGUGCUCAUAACUCUCCCUUCAGGCUUGUAUCAAGUUCUAAGCCCUACUGCUGCAGACUCCAGUCUAUAUGGCAAGGAUGGAGACCUUAGCCACGGCCAUGAUGGCUGAAUGUCGGCCUCCAGGACAGAAGCAAACACGUCUGAUGCACCCAAAAGGACACCAGCUGUGAUUCAAAGGAGCAAAAUCAGGGAUCUGUGGCCGCAAACUGCCUUCUGGCUCGGGCAGCUUUAUGCUAGGAAAAUCCCCAAAAUGAAAGCUGGGUGCUGUCUUUGCCAUCUACCCAGAAAUCCGGCCUGCUGCCUGUUUCGCUGCAACACCCUGUUCAAAGGUGAAGCCAUGAACUUUCUGAGCAACGCUGUACUCUGGACAGAAGUGCUAGGCCCAGCUUCAAACGCGCUGGCGUGAUGACUUACAGAUUUGUAUCAGGAUCACAGCAGGGGAGGCACUGCUUUUCACUACUUAAAGAGCUGAAACCAGGUGAGAUACAGUGUUUUCUAAUAAGUUUGAUCUAAAAUUUUAAAAUGCCUUUGAUUCCAAAAUUCAAAGUGAAAGUCAGAGAAAUGAACCCAUAUGAACCGAACCCAAGAAUGCAUCUCUGCAAAGCACUGUGAGGUGAAAACACAGCUUUGCAAAAGCUUUUCUUGAUGUCUUCCUUCCAGCAGGCUUCUAAAACAGUUACCAACUUCUGACUGACCAAAUGCAAAAUGCCUUCUCUGUACGGUUCUCAAAUGGCUUUAAAAACAACUGGUUAUAGAUUAUGAGUGCAUUAAGAAAAUGCCUUCAUCUUAUGCAAGCAUCUGACAGGGUUAACAGGAGUUAUCUUCUUUUGCCAUAAUCACAACUGAUGUCAGUGUGAUCUGAAGGAGUGUUGAGGUAGAGAAAAGAGGGAAAUGCAAAAUGGAACCCUGACAAAGUACAGCUGCAUGGUAUUUACUAGUGCUUGCUUGACAGAUGUCUUCCCAUGCUUGAGAACAUUAAUACUGUGGAACACCAGCACAAGGUACACUCCACAAACGAAUUGCCACAUAAGCACGUUGUAACAAUAGGCUGCUGAUACACACAUAUAGAAUCACACAGGUAUGCAGAUGAUGUACCACCUCACCAGAUAAUGCAGACCAUGCUGUCACUGCUUUCUGUGCAAUGCCUGUAUACUCCACACUCAUCACGGCACCUGGAAUGGUUGUUUUUCUGGACAGCUCACUAUCUCCUGCUCCCAACUAGCUCCAAACAGUGUUAGGAAAUUAAGCAUGGAGAGAGCAGAAGCCUACUCUGCCCAAUUUGCAGGAGUCAUUUGGUAUCAGACCUGAACUCAGGCUUCGCGUCCCAACAUCCGUCCUUUCUGCCAGUCAUAUACUCCACAUGCAUUCACAGAAUCACAGGUUCAUUAGGGUUGGAAAAGACCUCUAAGAUCAUCUAGUCCAACCAUCCACCUACCAUCAAUACUGCCCACUAAACCAUGUCCCUAAGUGCUACAUCUGCCUUUUCUUUAAACACCUUCAGGGAUGAUGACUUCACCACCUCCCUGGGCAGCCUGUGCCAAUGCCUCAUUGCUCUUUCUGGAAAUAAAUUCUUCCUAAUAUCCAGCCUGAAUCUCCCCUGGCACAACUUGAGGCCAUGCCCUCUUGUCCUAUCAUUGCUUUGUUGAAUGCAAAAAUCAGUUUGUCUCAGCUUGGACGGGUCCAGCACUGAACUGCAACACCUUAGGGAUGAGGACAUACUUUCAGCAGUCCUCAAGUCUUGACUGAUGAUCCAAUAGUAAGACUGGGAUAGGGUUGCUAUCCACGCAUCAAUCACAAUGAAAAAAAAAACCAACUUCUUUACCGGUGGCUGCAUCCACCUGCAUUUACCUGAUACAUUUGUGCUCAAGUCCAAAGGGGCAGGUAUACUACAGCAACACAGGUAACUGCACUGAAUGAAUGCACAUGUGUGGAAGACAGGGCAGAUCAGUGUCCUCUGCUUGCACAUGAAAACACUCAAGUGAGAUUGCUGAAGAAAGAGCCAGGCAGCCAAGCAGUUACUGCAGGUUCUGAGCUGCUGCCCACUGACACUUCCCACCAAUACCCCAGCCCAAAUAACUUUCAAGCUAACUUCAGAUUCCUGCUUUUUCACAUCUCGGUUUACAGCCAUACAUCUGUUCUUUUCUCUCCCAGUGCUGAUGGCAUUCAGCAGCCAUCCUGAGGACAUGCCUCUUUCUACAUGGGAACCAGACCUGAAUAAAGAUAUCUGCACAAGUGUUUUCUGCAAGCACUGUCCUUACAGCCACAGAUGCUUUUGCUUCCUGACUUGUGUCAAAGGGAUACCAUCUCCGCAACAGAUGCCAGUAGACAAAUUUCCUUGCAUGUGUUAAAAACCAUGAAAUCUCUGUUCUCUAAGUAAAAUCAUGUACCACUUCCUCCACGCAGGGUAUUCUGCUACCUACAUAAAACAUUAUUGUGAUCUUUAACCUUGUGGGGAAACCAUGCUGUAUGCAGUACUGGGGAAAAAUAACACGGGAACAGGCAAACACACAUGGAAAGAUAGUUUUGUUACUCUCCAGCACUGUUCCAGCUGUGCUCCUUUAAAUGUGCUCAGCACGUAGCCUGUUUUUCUGUCUGUAUCCCCACUGUGCUCUCUUCUGCCUUCAAUUCAGUCUUUCUUCUUGCACCUCCCACUAUCCUCUCUCUCUAUUUCAAAGCAUCCCGAUUAGCAGGAACAACACUGAGCAGAGAAGCGGUGACAGGGAGUAUGAAGAGACUGUCUCAGUGAGAGGAAUGACCUUCAUCCCUUCACUCAGUCACUGAACUGUGACCACAAUCUCUAGUUCCUUCUGCUGUCUUCAAGGCAGCUGGAUGGACACCCUAUGAGAAGUAAGCCAGUCUGCUUCAGCUCGCUGGGACAGAAUAAAAUGUUAGUUUUGAAUGAGUAAGCAAAGAAUAGGUCCAACUGAUUCAACCUAAGAAUUACAUGAGGAAUCAUGUCUCCAUUGCAUUUUUCCAGCUGCAAACAACCACACAGCAGGUUCCAGUACUGUGUGCUUGGUUACGAGCCCCUUCCCAGGGUGCACACAGACCCACGCUCCUCAUUCCCUGCAAACCCUGCCCAUUGCUCCUGUCUGCUCUCCUCCUUCAGCUAUGCACCCUGGCUUCCCUGCUACUGCCAGUCUUGAUCACAGUACGCACCCUAUUCUGGAACAGAGACAUUUAAUUACUGCUAUGUGGUCUUGCUUGUGGUCUUGCUUUUGUUUGUUUGUUUUGUUUUGUUCGUUAUGUGGUUUUGGAACCCAGAGACAUAGGCAUAUGGCUUUGUAAGAGCUAAAAACAAUGAAAUCUGUUUUGCUGCACAUUUCUAACAAUAAUUAAAUGCAAACUUUCCUUGAAGCUUCUCUUGCAUCUAGAGCUACCACAGCAUUUCUCUUUCUGCAGGGAUAUGCUGCUCUCUGCAAGACAAGACUGCCCGUGACAGCAAGCUGCAACCACUCCACAAUGACAUGGGGUCAAGAAAAAAUGCUCAGCAUCUUUCCAUCAAGUGCGGCUCACUCACAGUACCAGAAGGUCCAGAAGUCACCCGAGCACAGCCGAGCAGGUGCCAGUCCCGCAUGGCCCCGCUUGCUGCAAGCCUCCUCUGGCUCGUGGCAGUGCCAGCUCACACAAAUGAAAAGCAUAUGCUGAAGUUUCAAGAAAUCACUUUCCUGGAAAAAGAAAACAUAUACAGGGAAUUUUUGUUUGAGAAUUAAUUUUCCAAAUACAAGUUUCAUUUUCCUUCUCCCCGCAGCUGCAAAUUCUAGAAUUUACAUUCUAAAAUAUUUAAACAUUUCACUAAGUUACAGUCAAGACAAGCAUUCUGACACAUUUUUUUCUUUGGAAACUGGGAGAGAAAACAAAUUUGCUGCUUCUAUUGCAAAUGAUGGAGCACCGGGUUAACGAGGGCUCAUCGCUGGCAUUAAGCAAUAUCAAACUGCUGGCUCCAGGCUCUGUUCUGUUUGUGUGUGCAUAAUCGGGUCUUUGGAAAGAGAAGUCGAUGGGCUUCAGGCAGCAGCUGUGACAAGGAGACACUACAUGAAAAUUGUUUUUAUUCAUGCUCCCAAGGCAUCUAUCCUAAACAAAAGGCUAUAGGUGCUGACAAGCUUCAGCACUACAGAUUAAACCAAGACAGGAAAAGUAAUUGAAGGAGAAAAAUAAACAAAGGAAUAUUUUAGUAAUCUUGAGGAUGAAAGGCUCUUUGACUGGCUUUGCUAGCCUUCUAACACAAACCUUUAGCUUUGCUUGGAAGAAUACUAGAUUCUCUGCGGGAUGCCAAGUCAUGAAUCCAUCAGAAAAAUCUAUUUUUGAAAUCUUUCUAUCAUGCUACCAAAGGCAGAAGUUGUGUUGACAAAAGUGUCCACCGCGCUUGACAUAGCCUUUCCUUGUUCCUUGUUUGAAAAACCAUGAAGGAGGUUGGGACUAAGGGAUUUAUAGAUGUUAAGCAAAGCCCGUCUCUUUAAUCUGAAAUCUGUCUCGCUUUGCCCUUAGGUUGACAUUUAUUGUUUAAAAACCUUGAGAAAAUGUACUGAGGAAUUGCCCAUUCCCAUCAGUUUCAGUAUGAAAUGUUUAAAGUGCACAUAUUUCAUCUAGUGCCAGGUCCAGGAUCACAGCCAGGUCUUGUUUGACAACCAGAUGACUAACACAAAGGGGUUCCCCUUAUGAAAACGUUUAGAUAUGUGAAUUGGCACAUGCGAGCAGAUCACAACAUACCCUUUUGGGAGCCAGAUCACAGUCAUGUGCAGGGCAUAUGGGCAGCCACAUGAAAAGCACGCUGCCACGCCGAGCGGGGAACGGUCGUGUUGAAUAAGCAGGAGAGCAAAUGUGAGGGUCAUUUUAUAUUUCACUGUAAUUCGUAGAGCUGCUUAAGGGUGUUAAAUGGAAACAAUUUUAAGAGUGCAAAUGAAAACUGACCGCACGCUGCCUGGAGGUUGAGUAAUGCUGAUGUGUAAAUUUGUGAUUACUCAGUGCACACAUGGCCUGUGCCGUCGGCAUGGGAAUAGGGUUCCCACAUCAAUUGUGGGCAUGAGGCAUCAACUAAAGAUGUGAGUGGCACUCUUCCAGGGUCAUCUUCAUCUUCAACUUUAAAAUGAUUUAUUCUAAUUAAACAGAAGUAUUUUCUGCCUGUCAAUGCAAAUCAGUGCCUGAAAUACAACUCUACUGAAUCAGAAGUGAGAGAAGCAUCCCUGUGAUAUCCCAGCUCAGACUCCAAGCAAAUGAAACAUAAAAACAAAACAAAACAAAACAAACAAACAAACAAACAAAACAAGAGGUCUUAGGAACAGAAGUGCAGAAAUAAUUGCAAAAAUGAACUUUCCCUCUUUUUUCUAUUCCUCGUCUGGCCUUCUCCAUGCUACCAACCCUACACCUGUGCAUUGCCAGUUCUGGAAAGAAAACCCAAACACGGUGCCCCAUUCACUAGAUUUCUGCAAGCCCUUCAGACAGAUGACAGAGACCUAUCAGCUCAGCUCAUCUUACCCUUCCAUCCCCUGGCCCAAAGGUGGCCAGGACGAGGUGCCAGCUUGGCACAUGGCUCAGCACAGCCCUGUGAUACUGCAUAUAGAAUGGAAAGCAGCUUCCCAGCACACGCUGCCAUGCUGACAGUCUCACUGCCUCUGGGACAGCCCAAAGGCACACCAGGAGGCUGCCAGGCCGCUGGGCCUUCUCUUCAAGUCCCUGUGUAAUGACUACCAAGUUAUGGUAAAUUAAAUGGCAGUAUUUGACUUGGUAAAUAUUUUGCAUGAAGAGAAGGUAACACGAUCGCAAAGAAUUUCUUGGCAGGGGUUGCUCUCUCAAUUAAUAUUUACCCAUCAUCUCCCUGUCAUUCCACCACACUGAUUCCAAAAUCCUAACAGCUAUGCACAUAUGGCUCUCCAUGGACAUGUUUUAGCUGGGGAAUCUUCUUUUGCAGCUCUUAUGAGGUCCAGCUGUUCCUGCAGCUCUCUCUGAAGCUUUGACUCCUCCUCACUACCACCUGUAGACAAUGUAUGCACUCCCACACAGCGAUUGAGUGACAGUGCCAUAGAACAGGAGGUGUCCUUAACAAAGCCAAUCUCCAAUUUCCUUUUGAUUUUUGUGCAGUCAGAUAUUUCCAGGGCACUGCUGUUCUGGCAGAUCCUAAACGACAAAAAACACAAGAGUUUAGGAGAACAAAAUGAUGCAAUGCCCACCCCAACCCACCAAAGCAAUCUGGAUGCAGGAUUAGCAGACAUGUCAUCUGUUUUGACUAUGGCACGAGCCAUCAAAAAAUAAAUUAUGAAAUUCUCCCUGGCUGUUAUGCCUUAUGCUAAACAACACCAAGCAGGCAGUGCAAGGCUAUGGUGGAGCAGCUGCCUUUACCCGCCUUGUUCAGGAACCCACUGUAUUCCCUCACUGGGAAAUGACCUGAAACACUCGGUUAUUCUCCAAGCCACGACUGAGCCAAGAUGCAGAAUUCCUAGUGGGAUACUUCAAAAAGGCAAACCCACUGUGAAAAGAAAAAAUUAAACUAACAUUAUGGUUUAUAAAUUCCUCCCACCUCCCAUGUAAAGCAGAGCCUACUCAGGAGGUUAUCACAGGAGAACCGUGGCUGGAAAGGACCUCACAAGGUCAUCCAAUCCAACCUCCCGCUUAGCCCAGGUCAGCUAUGAGAUCACAGCUGAGGACCAACCACUCUGCUCUUGAAGGUCUCCCAGGGAUGGAGACUGCAGAGCCUCUCUGGAGAAUCCUGAUCCACUGCCACGUAGUGAACUGGCACACAACCAAGGCUAGUUCAGUGUGCCUGCUGUGCAGCUCCAGCAGAACACUUCUGGAAGUCUGCCAGCUGCCUCCAAAACACUUGGUGAAGAGGAAUUUCCAAGCGCCUGUCUGACUGUCAGCAGCCUCCAUCAUUAAGGAGUCGUUGCGUCUCAGUGUAAUAUGGGGAUCGUGUUCAGAGCUGACACUGAAAUAUCCUCCUGCCUGCACACCAAAGCCACGUUUUCUGCUUCUGUUUCAGAUACCUUCAAUACAUCUCCCAUUUCACUGUAAAACUAUUACGCCACAUAUCAACACCAUUAUAGUAGCUGACAGCAGCUAGUAAUUUCUGCUGUUAAGAUUGCAAAUGACCUUCAGAUAGCUUUGCAUUCUUACAACUUUCUCGAGUACCACAGGGACUGAAGCCUGAUAAAACUGCUUCCAAUGGUAACAGCAAACACAGAACACACAACCACGAUUCAAGUAAUUUACGUGCUUAGUUGAAGAAUGUGGCAGGCUAUUUCAUAUGCUUACAAAUCAAACGAGCAAACUCGGUGUUCAAUACAGUCCCCUUCUCUUACUUAGCACAAAGUAACACGCUUCUUCUCUUCCAUCAUCAUUCAGAACGGGAUCCUGAACUGAAGGCAUCCGGGGCUGCUGAAUUUGCUCCAGUGAUUUCAGCACCGAAUCAGACGAACGUGCAAAGAUAGAAUAAAUCUAUUUCCACUCCCCCAAAAAGCUAUGGAUGAAGCAAUCUCCACUUGAAAAGGCAGAGCACUCAUUUCCCCCUCCUGAACAUAAGAGCACCAACACAUUAUGUAAGUGCACAUUAAUUUCUUGGACAGAAAACCAGAUGUAAUUUAAUUACAGACACACAUUAGAAACACUGUAAGUGAAAUACACACAAUGACACCUUUCUAUUUAUGCAAAAGAUUUACUAUUAUUAAUCACUGCUGACUGCCAGCUUAGUGCCGCGCAGUUAUUCUCACCUCUGAUAGGAAGCCACUCACAAACGGGGAGAUGUGCUUCUGGUUUAUCUCAUCUGGGGAUACAAAUGAGUUGUUACCGCCUUAUCUCCCCGUAACAUUGCAGAGCCAGUAGUGAAAUCCACAUGAUUUAGGUUCACACCGGGUGGGAAAUGCUGAACAUGGAAAAAGGCAGAUUAUCUUCCCUGGGCUCUUUUCUUAGCUGCAGGCUUUGCACCAUGCCGAGAAAAAGCUCCCUAAACAUUCCUGUCUGAGAACCUGGCAGAACAACUGGCAAACUGGGACCUAUAUUUCUUAUAGCCAUUAAUACACAUUCAACAGUCGUCCUGCCUUUACUCUGUGAACCUGCACACAUCCAAAGGGGGAAAAAAAAGUCUGGAAUAAUACCAGCAAAUGCUGUGAUUAACUCGUCAUGGCAAAACUGCCACGUGAGGGCUUUUCAGGUUGGCCCUGGCUUCACCCCGUCUUACCCUGCUGCAUGGCACACCUGGGCAGAGGUCAGCAAGAAAGGAGUGCCAAAGGAGUAAACAGCACUGCGAUUCAUUGGAGCGCCCAUUCUGCUAUCAGGCCUGGGAGCAGGACGUGGGAUUUGUGCCUCAUUUCGUGUUAAUACUGCUGAGCUGGCUGCCAAGUAAAUGUAGCAGCCAGUGAACACUGACCUUACCAGUUUUAGAACAUCAAUUAUCGUCAUUAUAUUAUUAAAACCAGCAACAUGCCUGGAAUUACACCAGUAUGGAGAUGACCUCCGACCAAGCAACUUCCUGCCAUAUGGAGAUAACCACAUUAGUCCAUAGCACAUUCACACUCAUUUAAAGUGUAUUACACAGCAAGUAUCGGUGUAAUGAUAACAGUACGUUCAGAAUAGGGGAGGACUGGGAGGGGUUUAGACACUAAAAGACUGUGUAUUCUUGAUUUUAUUGCAUAGCAAGAAUCACAUUGCCUCCAGAUUCAAAUACCUUAUGGCAGACACGUUCAAACCUGCACGCUCAGAUGGAUGCACGUUACCUGCUCAUGGGACUCCAAACAUGGCAUGCUUUCAAUAAAGUUCACCAGCCCAAAGGAGCCAACAGUACCUUUGAUGUCAGAGCAUCUGACCACAGGCACAGCCAGGCUUCAGGCAUUGAUCAUCAGUGCAGAAGACGUGUUGCUCAGACCUGACAGACAGCUGUCACCCACUCUCCUUGAAGAACUGCCUCAGUCAGGACUGAUUUUAAGUCCAAAGAUGGGGAUAACUUUAUUGUUGUUUACUUCUUUUCCACUUAGUCUUAAAAGUUACACAUACCUCUAUGACUUUUUUUUUCUUCCAAUAUUAUAUUUUAAGGCAAUUAAAGACUAAGACUUACUGAUGUGCCUGUAAGGAGACUGGCAUCCAAGCUGUUAAAUGCCUGCGCAGCACUGCAGAGUACGGUUCAUAUUCACAGGAGGUUUCCACUAACUUGCUUGGGCAAACUGAGCAAAUGUCAGUGGGAAUUCUUACCCUGUGCAUAACAUUAAUCUUCAUAACUACUCGUCCAGAUGUUUACAUGUUCCUAGGAUGGAGAUGGAUUUUACUCAUGUUAAUUUUUGCAGCCCAUUGCUACUUGGAAGAAGAAAUCGAGGCUCUGCCAUCCACAGCUAGUUCUGUGCCAGUGCUCAGCUGAGGACACAGAUCGCCCAUUGCAGCAAUACCACCUCCAAGGGCACCAGCCUAUGCUGCCAACUGGAUCCUAUACUUAUGGAAACCUCCAGCCUGUGUCACCUGCCACACAGCCCCCAAAGGCUCACCACUAGUUUAGAGAUGCUCUUGCCUACCAAACAGUCUCUUAAGCUACAUUUGAAAUCAGAUAAAAUCAGUAUACAGCAGCAAUUUGCAAACUGCAAGGAAGAAGACAACAAGGGUCCUUGCAGAUCUUUUAGAUGAUUUGAUCUCAUACCCUAUUUCAAUAUGCCUACGUAGUCUCUACUGUGCCUUCCUGACAGCAGCACCCAGCAGGGAAGACUGCCAGUCAGACACUGUUACUGCAGCUUGCUCCAGCAUGUCUCCAUCAGCUGGGAGCACCACCAUCACUGUGAGGCACUGAAGCUUCAUUAAUGACUUUUGCAAGGUUAUAUAGGAGUGCUGGUUUUAUCAGCCAGUCAUCCAACAGGAGCACAAUCUGGGUAUGCAGCCCCCUAGCACAGCCCUUUCUCCCCAACAUAUUUUCCCAAUGAGACACUUGGUUCCAUUUAGGCCUGAACACCAUUAAUAGUAUCCGCUGCUCCCCCAGAAAUGAGCACAACCCAGACUCUGCUGGACUGUCAGUCUUUGCCCUUGUUAUCUCAGCUGAUAGGAGGCUGCCCUAGCAAAUAACUGCCCUGGGCAACUGGAAAGAAAACCACCAUUAUAAAAAAUUAAUCUUUACGUAGGAGAAGCUGGUUAGAUAGGAUCACUAUAGGAUUUUUAAGCUGACUUCAAAAUGCUACUCAUUAGGCAGAAGAUUCAUUUGAGUCAUGCGUGGAAAGAAGCCCAGGGCCUCCACCCUCAUGCUGCAUUUAAGAGAAGGGCGCAUUCUUGCACCGCGUGCUCCUGCUGCCAUCUGCCAUCGCCUGGUGCAGCUUCGUGAGACACUGGUGAAUCCUGAGGCUCCCAUGAUCCAUUAAACAAAGCAUACAGACACUGGGGAGAGAGUUCUCAUUUCACCAGAACAAUAUGUUGAGCUGCUUUUGUUUCUGUGGUUUUUGUUUUGUCCCCUAUCAGCAAGUUUGUGCAACACGCUGAAGGUACUGACAUACUGUGCUGGCUUAUCUGGAACUACUCAUCCUGCAUUUCAGCAUGUGUCCUUCAAAGGGAUGGCACAUGCUCAGUUUGCUGUUUCAAAGAUGGUACUGUUAGCACUGUCAGCAGUUUACCAAACAGAAAAUGCAACGCUGCUCCUCCAGGAGCUGCAGCAAGUGGUGCCGAGGCAGACCUGCUGCAGCUCUGUUCUUUCGUUGGCUGUUUUGAACCAAGCUGUCUGCAACAGAUCCUAAGAGAUUUAAAAUCUGCAGGUUAGUUUGCUUUAGUCAUGCCUGUCUAGUGCUCAGCAUUUAUUAGAUAAGAUGCAUAUAUUUUUACUUCUAUUUUCUCUGCUUGGGACUCAUUAAACCAGCAAUUUGCAACUUUCAACUGAUGAAAAGGCAAUUUUUAAGAAACUGAAAUAAGUCAUUAGAUUAUUCAGUGUCUGACGAUAGAGGAUUGUUUCUCGCAGAUUCCUCAGGUCAGCUGUUCCCAUGGUUUACAACAGCACAACUUCCAAUAGCACAGCAUUGCCUCACUACCCGCUUCUCCCUCCACUCCAGCUUGGAAGUCCCACAGCGCUCCCCUUUACCACAAGAGCCUCUGGUCAAAAAGGGGGUAGGACCUCUUACUGGGAAAAGCAACCCAAAGGGAACUGCAAGGAAGGAAAGCUUCCGGGUUACAUGCUGAUGUAUGGAGUAGGGGAUACUUUCAAACACACUAUUUUCUACAGCUGACUUUUCAUACAGAAACUAGCUAUGAAUUCCAAUUACUAGAUUGUUUGGAAUUCCCAGUGCCUUUUGAGGAUGGAGACCAAGAUGUCACAGCUAUUGCUUUCUUUCUGAUGCACUCGGAUCAUCCGUGUUUCAAAAACAUUUGCCAUAGGAGCUUCUGGUGCAAGAGAUUGAACAGCCAAGUCUGAGAUGUGCACACAAGACUCGUGUUUUGAUGGCUGCAUUCUACCAGGCCGUUGUUUUGACAGCUGUAGAGAUCUACUGUCAGCUUCUACCUCCACUGCUCUGACACAGCCUGCUUCCCUUCAGUGGGAGAUUUGCAUAUGCUGAUAAAUGUGAAUACAUGUGCAGAUCUCUCAUAAAAACAUUAAAAGUUUGGUUGUGGGAAGAGUUUCAAGGAGGAUCUGUUUGUUCUGUUUUUCCUUCCAGUACAGUAGACACACUGAAAUCAUGACUUCCUUCUGGCCUUUGUUCCAUACAGGACUUCAUGGAGACUUCAGCUCGUGUCCCUGUCCCUGUGGCAGCACCAGUACUGCAGGGAGGCAGUGCCGGGACGUUUCAAGGUGGCAAUGUAGGGGAAUAUAAUGCAUAUUUCUGUUGGAUUAGUUGUCACAUUCAGCCAGUGCACAGAACAGCUCGGCCCAGGUUCAGGUCAGUGAAUUAAUGACAAUUAUUUUUUCCAGACUUGAUUAGACAAGCGAAGAGAUAACUGGAAACAAAUAAUAAUAAGAAAAGAAAAGUAGAUAAGCGUGUAUUUAACGUGCCUUGAUGAAAGAAAUGGAAAUUACCCUACCUGACAGAAUCAAUAAAGACUCAUUAACUGCAGUGAAGAUUUAUGGGCUAUGAGAAGAGCCAGAUAUACAGCCAUUAAUCUUUCCUGAGAUGCUGCAUAAGUAAUGAUCACUGUGGCCCUCCCUCAUUAGCAAAUCCAUACCGUGCAAACUACCAUAGGGUGCACAGGCAGACUCAGCCUAUGAGCUCAGCUCCUUCAGCUUCUGGUUACUGCAGCAGGAAUGUGCAAGUGAAUCAUCCAAGGAACAGUGCUGCUCAGGAUUUUCUCCAGACACCUAUCUGCAAACCAUUUGCUCUUUAACUCCUUGCUCUCUAGGCAACAACCAAAUUAGCUCCACGACACACACCCUGCACUGCACAUCUGGUGGUUGCUGCGUGGAGCGCCGUGCCCUUGUGUCAGCUCACAGCAAUGCAGGAAUUCGAGGAAAUCUUCUUCUGCUCCUUUUAAUGGCUGCAGACCCAGCCCUGUCUUCUCAGCAGAAGGGCUGCAAACUCCUUCCCCAGCUGCAGGGCAGUAAGGAACUGUGAUCCAGUGACCUGUCCUCAGGUGUCAGGCUGUCAACAGAGAGGAAGACAUUAAACGUAUGAUAAACACAAAAUGGGCUACGUCUCCAUUCCUGAGCAUACUCAGAGAAACAAAAGCAGAACACAAAUAGCUUCAAAUUCCAAAGAAAAAGAGGACCAAGUAUUAUGA
ensembl:lncRNA